rnacentral:rRNA from 1 species
AGUGAACGCUGGCGGCAGGCCUAACACAUGCAAGUCGAACGGCAGCACAGGGAGCUUGCUCCUGGGUGGCGAGUGGCGGACGGGUGAGGAAUACAUGGGAAUCUGCCCAAUCGUGGGGGAUAACGUAGGGAAACUUACGCUAAUACCGCAUACGACCUACGGGUGAAAGCGGCGGACCGCAAGGCGUCGCGCGAUUGGAUGAGCCCAUGUCGGAUUAGCUAGUUGGCGGGGUAAAGGCCCACCAAGGCGACGAUCCGUAGCUGGUCUGAGAGGAUGAUCAGCCACACUGGAACUGAGACACGGUCCAGACUCCUACGGGAGGCAGCAGUGGGGAAUAUUGGACAAUGGGCGCAAGCCUGAUCCAGCCAUGCCGCGUGAGUGAAGAAGGCCCUCGGGUUGUAAAGCUCUUUUGUCCGGAAAGAAAAGCUUUCGGUUAAUACCCGGAAGUCCUGACGGUACCGGAAGAAUAAGCACCGGCUAACUUCGUGCCAGCCGCCGCAGUAACAC